rnacentral:rRNA from 1 species
CGCCGGACCUGACUGCUAUCGGAUUGAUACUAAGCCAUGCGAGUCAUUGUAGCAAUACAAGGCAUGCGGCUCAGUAACGCGUAGUCAACCUAACCUAUGGACGGGAAUAACCUCGGGAAACUGAGAAUAAUGCCCGAUAGAACAUUAUGCCUGGAAUGGUUUAUGUUCCAAAUGAUUUAUCGCCGUAGGAUGGGACUGCGGCCUAUCAGUUUGUUGGUGAGGUAAUGGCCCACCAAGACUAUUACAGGUACGGGCUCUGAGAGGAGUAGCCCGGAGAUGGGUACUGAGACACGGACCCAGGCCCUAUGGGGCGCAGCAGGCGAGAAAACUUUGCAAUGUGCGAAAGCACGACAAGGUUAAUCCGAGUGGUUUCUGCUAAAGAAACCUUUUGUCAGUCCUAGAAACACUGAUGAAUAAGGGGUGGGCAAGUUCUGGUGUCAGCC